UACAGAGGCCCCAAGCGUUACUGAGAAUCACUGGGUUUAAAGGGUGCGUAGGUGGCGCGUUAAGUCCGUUGUGAAAUCCCUGGGCUCAACCCAGGAAUUGCUUCGGAUACUGGCGCGCUUGAGGCCGGUAGGGGUCACUGGAACUGACGGUGGAGCGGUGAAAUGCGUAGAUAUCGUCAGGAACGCCGAUGGUGAAGACAGGUGACUGGGCCGGAACUGACACUGAGGCACGGAAAGCGUGGGGAGCCGAACGGGG
rnacentral:rRNA from 1 species